CAAGAUUCUAUUUGAGGGUCAUUCUUAAACUGUGGCCUGUAAAGAAAGUAAAGCUGUUUUGUCCGCAGUAAGCUGCUGAAUGUAGGAACACACUGGAGCUGUCAGGACCAAGAGGAUGUAUGGAAUGUGGUUCAUCCACCUCAGUCUAAGGAAUGCUCAUCAGUGGGAAAUCCAGGGAAAGGUGAAUUCUCUGAUUCUCCACCAGGAGGGGCACAGAGACAACCUUGCAUUUACUGCUUCCAGCAGCCAGUUCAGGGAGUUGAGACAGCACGUUUUAGUGCAGCCAGCAAAAGAAGUGGAAGUUUAGACUGAGCACAAAAACACUUUAUCAGAAAAAAAGGAAACCCCAAAAUAUUGAGGUGCUUUACAGUGCCAGGAGCCUUCAGUAUGACCGAGCACAUACAGGUCCUUCAACAGCAAAAAAAUAAUCUCCUUUACUUUGCUUACCAUUGUGAGUAGCUGGACAGACUAAGUUUCUGUCAGUAGGCCAGUUUCUUUC
ensembl:lncRNA